UGACAGCUCAUUAAUGCAGUAUCAUGUUUAUGGGAGGCGGAUGCUUGCCGCAAGGGAAGAAAAGUCAAGAGCUUCAAUACCUACUUCUAUGUGAAGCUCGACAAUCAAGGUUCUGUUGCUGUAAGACAAUGGACAAUGAAACAGCUGAUAAAUAUUUUCCAUUAUGAUGUUCUGUUAAUUCCCAUGCACAUGCCUGUGAAGCAGCAUUGGUGUUGUAUAGAUAUCGACAUAACACACAGGACAAUUAAAUACUAUGACCCGCUAAUGGAAGUGUGUUCAGAAGUCUUUCUAAAGAUUAGGUCAUGCAUACAUAUAAUACAUAUAUACACAUACUGUACAUAUGAAAGACACAUGUAACAUUACUAUUCUCCCAUUAGAGAUUGGUUAUCAGAUACAGUAACAUUGA